rnacentral:rRNA from 1 species
UACGUAGGGUGCGAGCGUUAAUCGGAAUUACUGGGCGUAAAGUGUGCGCAGGCGGCCGCGCAAGUCGAGUGUGAAAGCCCCGGGCUUAACUUGGGAAUUGCGCUCGAAACUACGUGGCUGGAGUGUGGCAGAGGAAGGUGGAAUUCCACGUGUAGCGGUGAAAUGCGUAGAGAUGUGGAGGAACACCAAUGGCGAAGGCAGCCUUCUGGGCCAACACUGACGCUCAGGCACGAAAGCGUGGGGAGCAAACAGG